AUUUGGUCUAAUUGAUAAAAUCAUGUCUAAUAGAGUUCACAAUCUUUACUUUGAAGAUCUGUAGCUAGACGUUAGAACUGUUGACAUGCAAAUAAUUAACUAACUGCAUGUCGUACUUGAAUUACAGGUUUUUUGGUUUCGUCACUCCUUUGUUAUAUGGAAGAAGACUUCAUGGUAGAAGAUAGCGACAGAGUGCUGCCGGAUAAUGAGGUAUUGAAGCGGCAGAUUGAAUCCAUGACACCGAAGUGCAAUUGCGGCAGAUUAUCUCUAUCUUUUCUUUUCAUUUUUCUUAUUAUUGAGUGAGAACAGAAUGAGGAACUAUGUGAUAGUACAUACAACAACUGUAGUAAAAAGAAACUUAUGUUUGCAAUUGUUAAUGACAUAGAUACUUGCAUGUUCUUUGAA